UGUAUAGCGUAGACCCUUGUUCUAUAAAUAGUGUGCUAAGACGGUCAAACAAGAGAAAAAUUACCUAACAAUUAACUUUUAGCUUAAAAAGCUAAGAACCUAGAGAAGGCUUGAGGUUUCUUGAGAAAUUUCUAAGAUAGUCAGGUUUUGGUUUUGCAAUGGAAAAAGCGAGCAACAAAGAUGGUUUCUUGGAUGGAUUUAGGAAACUAUUGACAGAACAGUGGCAAUCCGAUGUUCAGCUCAAGGCUGGAGACAGUGAUGAUGCUACUAUCCCCGCCCACAAACUUGUUCUGGCAGCAAGGUCAGAGGUGUUUAAGAGGAUGCUGGAACCAGACGGGAUCAAGGGUUCGCCUAAGGUAGUAGAGACAAUCACUCUCCCUGAGAUGAAACAUGAAGAAGUUGAGGCUUUAGUUGAUUUCAUCUACAGCGUUGACGGCUCUUUCUCUUCUGCCAGUCUCAAGAAACAUGCUCGGCCACUGUAUCUUGCAGCAGAUAAAUAUGAUAUACCUCAUCUACGUGACCUAUGCAGAACCGAGCUAAUAUCUUCUUUGAAUUCAUCAAACGCUCUUAGCAUCUUUGAGCUCUCCCAAAUCCCUUUUGACUUUACCCUCUCCAAUUUUGCCUUGGAGACAUAACAAGCAACGAGAAGAGUAAAGUUGUAGCUUAAGUCAAUUACCAUCUAUGAGGAAGGUGGGGUUUGAGGAACCAGAAGGCGCAUCCCAAUGAUCAUUCGGAAGUAACCGAUCAAAUUCCAAUCUCUCUCGUUCCUCCUCUGUUUUGCCUACAAGUUGUAGACAUAAAUAACUCUGUUUUGUGUACUAAGUUGUUGACGUAACUCAGUUAAAUGAAUUGUGGACUGGUUUUAACUCUAUUGGUUUAUUAUGGGGUUUGUUUUUAUAUACUACUUGUGUCUAUUUUCAAUAAAU